AAUCUCUUAACGAGGAACAAUUGGAGGGCAAGUCUGGUGCCAGCAGCCGCGGUAAUUCCAGCUCCAAUAGCGUAUAUUAAAGUUGUUGUGGUUAAAAAGCUCGUAGUUGAACCUGGGCCUCGCGCAGACCGGUCCGCCUCACCGCGUGCACUGGUCCUGCCGGGGCUUUCACUAGGGGAUUCGCAUGUCCUUCACUGGGCGUGUGCGGAACCUGGACUUUUACUGUGAAAAAAUUAGAGUGUUCAAAGCAGGCCUAUGCUCGAAUACAUUAGCAUGGAAUAAUAGAAUAGGACGUGUGGUUCUAUUUUGUUGGUUAUGGGACCGCCGUAAUGAUUAAUAGGGACAGUCGGGGGCAUCAGUAUUCAAUAGUCAGAGGUGAAAUUCUUGGAUUUAUUGAAGACUAACUACUGCGAAAGCAUUUGCCAAGGAUGUUUUCAUUAAUCAGGAACGAAAGUUAGGGGAUCGAAGACGAUCAGAUACCGUCGUAGUCUUAACCAUAAACUAUGCCGACUAGGGAUCGGGCGAUGUUAUUUUUUGACUCGCUGGGCACCUUACGAGAAAUCAAAGUCUGUGGGUUCCUGGUGAGUAUGGUGGCAACGCUGAAACUUAAAGAAAUUGACGGAAGGGCACCACCAGGAGUGGAGCCUGCGGCUUAAUUUGACCCAACACGGGGAAACUCACCAGGUCCAGACACAAUGAGGAUUGACAGAUUGAGAGCUCUUUCUUGAUUUUGUGGGUGGUGGUGCAUGGCCGUUCUUAGUUGGUGGAGUGAUUUGUCUGCUUAAUUGCGAUAACGAACGAGACCUUAACCUGCUAAAUAGCCCGCGUUGCUCCUGCAGCGCGCCGGCUUCUUAGAGGGACUAUCGGUUCAAGCCGAUGGAAGUUUGAGGCAAUAACAGGUCUGUGAUGCCCUUAGAUGUUCUGGGCCGCACGCGCGCGACACUGACAGGGCCAGCGAGUACUCCCUUGCCCGAAAGGGCCGGGUAAUCUUGUUAAACCCUGUCGUGCUGGGGAUAGAGCAUUGCUAUUAUUGCUCUUCAACGAGGAAUUCCUAGUAAGCGCAAGUCAUCAGCUUGCGCUGAUUACGUCCCUGCCCUUUGUACACACCGCCCGUCGCUACUACCGAUUGAAUGGCUCAGUGAGGCUUUCGGACUGACCCAGGGAGGUCGGCAACGACCCCCCAGGGCCGGAAAGUUAUCCGAACUCGGUCAUUUAGA
rnacentral:rRNA from 1 species